AGAGUUUGAUCAUGGCUCAGAACGAACGCUGGCGGCGUGGAUAAGACAUGCAAGUCGAACGAGAUUUUUUCCUGUAGCAAUACAGGGAAAAGUCUAGUGGCGAACGGGUGCGUAACACGUGGGCAAUCUGCCUUAAAGUGGGGGAUAGCUCGGCGAAAGCCGAAUUAAUACCGCAUGUGAUCAGAGGGGACAUCCCUUCGAAAUCAAAGUCGGGGCAACCUGACGCUUUUUGAGGAGCCCGCGGCCUAUCAGCUAGUUGGCGAGGUAAUGGCUCACCAAGGCUCUGACGGGUAGCUGGUCUGAGAGGACGACCAGUCACACUGGAACUGAGACACGGUCCAGACACCUACGGGUGGCAGCAGUCGAGAAUUUUUCUCAAUGGGGGAAACCCUGAAGGAGCGACGCCGCGUGGAGGAUGAAGGUCUUCGGGUUGUAAACUCCUGUCAUUUGGGAACAAGUUGGACGCCGUAACUGCGCGUCCAUUGAUAGUACCAGAAGAGGAAGGGACGGCUAACUCUGUGCCAGCAGCCGCGGUAAUACAGAGGUCUCAAGCGUUGUUCGGAUUCAUUGGGCGUAAAGGGUGUGUAGGUGGCGCGCUAAGUCGGGUGUGAAAUUUCGGAGCUUAACUCCGAAACUGCAUUCGAUACUGGCGUGCUUGAGGACUGGAGAGGAGACUGGAAUUCAUGGUGUAGCAGUGAAAUGCGUAGAGAUCAUGAGGAAGACCAGUGGCGAAGGCGGGUCUCUGGACAGUUCCUGACACUGAGACACGAAGGCCAGGGGAGCAAACGGGAUUAGAUACCCUAGUAGUCC
rnacentral:rRNA from 1 species